rnacentral:rRNA from 1 species
AUGAACGCUGGCGGCGUGUCUAAGGCAUGCAAGUUGAAUGCUUGUAGCAAUACAAGCAUGGCAAACGGGAGAGUAACACAUUGGCAACCUACCCUCAAGACGAGGAUAACCUGACGAAAGUCAGAGUAAUACUCGAUAGCAUUAAAAGGCUCAAGUCUUUUAAUUAAAGCUCAGACGCUUGGGGAGGGGCCUAUGCCCUAUCAGCUAGUUGGUGAGGUAAUGGCUCACCAAGGCAACGACGGGUACCGGGCGCGAGAGCGUGACCCGGCUCACUGGGACUGAGACACUGCCCAGACUCCUACGGGAGGCUGCAGUCAAGAAUCUUCCUCAAUGGACGAAAGUCUGAAGGAGCGACGCCGCGUGUAUGAAGAAGCCCUUCGGGGUGUAAAAUACUUUUAACUGUGACGAAACAAUGACGGUAGCAGUUGAAUAAGGGGCUGCUAACCUCGU